rnacentral:ncRNA from 1 species
UUGUCAUGAUUAAGAGGGAUGGCUGGGAGCAUUUGUAUAGUGCCGCUAGAGGUGAAAUUCUUGGACCAGUGCAAGACAGACCAAAGCGAAAGCAUUUGCCAAGAAUGUUUUCAUU